UGACAUGCUGCGGGUAGACAGCUGGUCCACAGCAUGACGGAGGAGCGCAGCGUGGAUUUGAGCGGCGGUUUGGAGGAUGUUCCUGUUUUAUGUGAAGCUCUGACACGUCCGACAUUCAAGUCAGAUGUCCCUGGAAUCCCCAUGACAACCGGCGGUGUGUACAGGAGGUGAUUUGGACAGAGACUGGCUGAUUCGGGAGGCGCGCGAAUGCCGAUCUCAGAUCUGCCCGGCAGAACGGCUGCAAACAAGAGCGGCUCCUCUCCAGCACUGUCACCUAGCAACCGGCACUUAAUCACAGGAGGUGAACUUCCCUGCAAAACUCCCUGUGUACCCCCCUGCCCAAAAUCCAACACGAGAACAAGGAAAAUGAAACGUGUUCAGAGCAGGAGGGUGUUUUAGUCAGGAUGUGAUUGGAUUUUGAGAGGCGUAGCGGUUCUGCUCUGGCCUUUGCUAAAUAUCAUUUUCAAUGAAGAUGUUCUCAUUGUUGGUACUCGGUGGAGUUGUCGUAAUGUAAUCUUCUCAUACCAAAAGUGACAGGUACUCAUGUUUUGCUGUGUUCCCUUUAAACCACACUUACUGUGGUUUGAAAACCUGCCCAGAGCCUUGUAGUCAUAAACCCUUGAACUUUUCCACACUUUUUUCCAGAUUGCAGCUACAACCUUUUGUGUCUUUUAUUGAAAUUUAAUGAAAUAGACCAACACAUAGAAGUGCGUAAUUGGGAAGUGGACAAUUGUUUUCAUGAUUUGUUUUAAAAAAAAUAAAAAUCUGUGUUGUAUGCAUUUAAGUCAGUACAGCUGUAUGUGUUCAACCAGUUUAAAGAUUGAAAUUGUUGUUCAUUCUUCAUAAUACAAAGAACACAAUCGACAACGCUGAGCAUCCUCCUUAUGAGACUUUUACACAACUAUAAUGUUUUCAGUCAGAGACUUCAUCAGACUUGCUGGAAUACAGACUGCUACAGGAGAUCUUUCCUGCCCAAAGACAUAAGCAUCAACUUUAACUUUCUCCACGACGUUUUAUACAGUGUGUUUUGUUUUGUUUUUAUGAUGCUGUUUGUUCACUGAAGUUCUCUUAACGAAUCUUUAGAGUCUUCAGAUUACAGCUGGAUUUCGACUGACAUGAAAUUACACCAACUCUGUUCAUUAAUAAGGUGGCUUCUGAUGGUACCGGAUUCAAUUUAACAAAUUAUAAACCUAACUGAAUUUGCUUGGAGCUGUAAGAACUGAAAUCCAGGAAUGGCCGCAUAAAAAAAAAAGAGCAAUUAAUGCAUCACAUGAAGUGAUCGUAUGGCUAAAUAUUAAUUGAUUGGGCUUAAUCAAACUUUGCCAGUAUGUCUUUUCAAACUACGUUUCAAAGGGGUACAGAUGACAAGAUGCAGCUUGAUUAUGUGUCACAUUGAUAAAGGGCCCUGACUAUUUCGGGGUGAGUGACCAGCGGAGAAAUUACUACUGGCAGUCGAUUUGUUCUAAACUGGAGCACGUCUCUGAUGAGGGAGCAGAUGUCCUUGCCUUGAAUCCUGCAGCCAAAUUAAAAAAAGAAAAAAAAAAACUGAAGGCUUAUUUUCAGGGUCUCGGCUGGCGAAGACAUUUUACACGUUCCAGUUGAAACAUUUGCCCCACUUUUGUUGAUUUAUUUUAGUUUUUUUUUGGUCAGUUAAUACAGAAUAAGACAUCAGUCCAUGAAGCACUCCACUGAAUUUGUGUUUGGUUUUUUUCCCCCCCACGGGGUAAGCCUUAGAGCGCCGUGCCUCAUCUCUGCUAAGAGAGGAUGGUGUGAAAAGGGUUUCUCACACUGACUCCUCCCAUCACAGAUGUUAAGUUAAAUUUGGCCCAGGACACCUGCACUGGGCCCAGCAGGAAGUUCUGGAGUGCAGGAGGCGCCCGCCUUCACAGGCUGCUUUUCACGCUGAUCGUUUCUUCCACAUGUGAGAGUUUAGAUACAGUGGUGUGAAGAAGUGGGUUUCACAUUGUCAAAAAGAUGUUAAUACCGGACAAAAAUGACCUGAGUUAAAUAUAAAAUGCUGUUUUGAAAUGAUUAUUUUAAUUAUUACGGGGGCGGGGGGGAGAAAUCGAAAACCAAUCUGGUCCUUUGUGAAAAUAUAAUCUCUCUCUCUCUUCCUACUUUGACACAUGCUUCUUCAAAUAAUUGUAAUUCAGCUUGUCAGUUGGAUCUAAUGCCUGACUUUAACUUCAAAACUUUCUGAAUCAUUAAGAAAUCAUUGCAUGUACAUUUCUACAUGACCAAAAACGCUUUAGUUUCGCCGGGUGAUGGGCAGGGAUUUUCCUUUUUGGACGUUCUGGAAUAAAGAGCAGAAUUCAAUACUUUCUCAAAUUAAAUCAAAGUCGUCCAGGCCCUGAACCAACCCAGGCCAUAACAACAAGCCCCAUGUUUGACUUUUAAGAUGUCCUUCUGGCUCUGUGGAGAGAAAUCAUCUUGUAAUCUGGAAAUUGUCAUCUUGAUUUAUGUUUUCCUUGGAGAAGCACUUAGCCCCAAAUUGCCUGCUGAUCUGCAUAUUGGUGUCUGACUGUUUGAGUGCGAUUGAUGAAUGUAGCUCUAGUGUAAAGUGCUUUAGUGGUCAGCAUAACUACAAAAGCUCAAUAUAAAUUCAGUCCGUUUACCAUUUCAUUAAUGUUUAAGCCCUAUGUUAGAAGUAAUAGGAUGCUUUAAGACUCUCCUCUGGAUGCUAUUUUUCCCAUCAUCUUUCUUAUGAAUAAUGAGCCCUAAUCUCAGCUGAGGGAAGGGAAUGUUGAUGUUCUCUUGCAGGAGUUAUGAUAUGCCGGUGAUAUAUGAGAAGGUUCACCAUUGGUCCAUGUUUUCUAUGGUUUCCAAACUGAUGCAUGUCAUUGAUUUUCUCACCUGUUCUUAAAUUUCUUCAGAUUGGAGGAGAAUGUGGCUAUUUAAGACCUUUUGCCGACUUUGUGUUGUCAGAAUGGUUCUAUUUAAGUUACUUCUUUUUUUAUUUUUCCACAGGACUACGUGUAAUCAGUUCUGGGUUCUGUUGGUGGAAUUGGACCAAAAUAAUGUUCCCUUUUUUGGGUCUUGUGCAAAUUUUGUUAAUGUAAGUUCCUGGUUGUAAAUUGAAUAUAUGACUCUACAGUUAAUUGUGUUUAGCCUAAAGUGACAUUCUUCCAUGUUGUCUUCCAUGUUUUUUGUUUUAAUAAAAAUUUUAACAUUUUUA